rnacentral:rRNA from 1 species
ACGCACGCUGGCGGCGUGCUUCACACAUGCAAGUCGCACGGAAAGGCCCUGCUUUUGUGGGGUGCUCGAGCGGCGAACGGGUGAGUAACACGUGAGUAACCUGCCCUUGACUUUGGGAUAACUUCAGGAAACUGGGGCUAAUACCGGAUAGGAGCUCCUGCUGCAUGGUGGGGGUUGGAAAGUUUCGGCGGUUGGGGAUGGACUCGCGGCUUAUCAGCUUGUUGGUGGGGUAGUGGCUUACCAAGGCUUUGACGGGUAGCCGGCCUGAGAGGGUGACCGGCCACAUUGGGACUGAGAUACGGCCCAGACUCCUACGGGAGGCAGCAGUGGGGAAUAUUGCACAAUGGGCGGAAGCCUGAUGCAGCAACGCCGCGUGCGGGAUGACGGCCUUCGGGUUGUAAACCGCUUUCGCCUGUGACGAAGCGUGAGUGACGGUAAUGGGUAAAGAAGCACCGGCUAACUACGUG